rnacentral:rRNA from 1 species
UAAAGGGUGCGUAGGCGGUUUAUUAAGUCAGUGGUGAAAGACGGUCGCUCAACGAUUGCAGUGCCAUUGAUACUGGUAGACUUGAGUGAGAUUGAGGUAGCUGGAAUGGAUAGUGUAGCGGUGAAAUGCAUAGAUAUUAUCCAGAACACCAAUUGCGUAGGCAAGUUACUAAGUCUCAACUGACGCUGAGGCACGAAAGUGUGGGUAUCAAACAGGAUUAGAUACCCUGU